UAGCCAAGGGGAAGGAGUGGCCAUGUUUGGAGACAUAGGACGGGCAAGAAGUGUGAUGGAAAGCUGGAGUCGGGCAGUAAAAGAACGCACCGGGGAGAACUGUGCAACUGCAGUAUCCCAGAGGUCAAGUCUUCUUCAAGCUCAGCCCAGUGAGAUCUAAAAUUGGGAACUUACCAGAAACUAGCAGAAAAGUAUGGCAAAAAGGAGGUAAUUAACAGCAUAUCCAGUGGGACAUCAUUGAAGAGACACACCUGUGGCAUACACCCUACAGGAGAUUACAACAGAGGGAACCAAAGCUCCCAGAAGUUAACUAGUGCUUUUGUCCCUGGACUUCAAGACUUCACCUAUAAAAAUAUAGCACAAGCUUGGCUUCCAUUUAUAAAGUAGAAAUAUGAUCCAAUGAUCCAACUCCAGAAAAACUCACUGGAUCGAGGUGAACACAGCCUCUUUAAAGCUCUUGCCAAUGAGCUGCUGGUCACUUUUUGCUGCUUGUCAUUCAAGCACUUUGACACGGACCUGAAGCUAUUAUCACAAGUGCCUAUUCCAUACUUCAUUCAACUUUUGGGAGUCUACCAAUGGUGUACAGGACCGAAUGUAAUCAAUAUCCCAAGAAGCAAAAGAGAUGCGCCUAGCAGAAGCAUCUUGAAGGUGUACUGUAUCUAUCACCAUGAAGUCUGCAUUCCCAUUUUUUUUUUUUUUUUUUUUUUGGCUUGGGAAGAUAACUGCAAAAGUUUUUUUUUUUUUUUUAAGAUCAUGUUUCUAACUAGCAGGUAUCAUGAAAACCUCAAAUUAUUGAAUAACAAUAGAAUUGUUAAACACUUUUAAAAAAGUCCUGUUAAGUAAUAUUUCCCCUAAUCACAAUUAAAGACAAUAAAUAAAUGGAAAUUACUUCUUUGAA
rnacentral:lncRNA from 1 species